rnacentral:rRNA from 1 species
UGGGGAAUAUUGGACAAUGGGGGCAACCCUGAUCCAGCGAUGCCGUGUGUGUGAAGAAGGCCUGCGGGUUGUAAAGCACUUUUGUUUGGGAGGAAGUGGGUGUGAUGAAUAAGUGCACUUAUUGACGUUACCGGACGAAUAAGCACCGGCUAACUACGUGCCAGCAGCCGCGGUAAUACGUAGGGUGCGAGCGUUAAUCGGAAUUACUGGGCGUAAAGCGUGCGCAGGCGGCGACAUAAGACAGAUGUGAAAUCCCCGGGCUCAACCUGGGAACUGCGUUUGUGACUGUGUUGCUAGAGUGUAGCAGAGGGGGGUGGAAUUCCACGUGUAGCAGUGAAAUGCGUAGAGAUGUGGAGGAACACCGAUGGCGAAGGCAGCCCCCUGGGUUAACACUGACGCUCAUGCACGAAAGCGUGGGGAGCAAACAGGAUUAGAUACCCAUGUAGUCCCUGAGCGGGCUGGCAAGGCGCAU